CUGACCAGAGCUCAUCUCAACAACGCCUUCGAUUGGAAUGAUUCUUUUCCAUUAUAUUUCAGCGGCAGUUUCACGAGACGCAAGAAUUGGAGAGUUUUGAUUUUGAGAGAAUGAAACCUUUAUCAUUGCAAAAUGGUACUCAGGAAGUUCCUGACUCAAUAGACUUCCCAGCUGCUGGGUGUCUCAUCCAUCACUAAUUGAAAUUGGUUGGUCAGCCAGAGAGACAAAGAGCAGGGAGAUCUGGAGCCUUCUAUAAAUCCUGCAGAGAGGCUCAGCGGCGAUCCUGUGAGGGAGCAGUGCGGAAUGGGAUAUUAUAAAUCUCAGUUCAGGCUUGAGGAUUACAAUUACUUGGGAGUCACAAAGGGAGAGAACCUGACAGCGAGCAGCACAGAGCGGGAGAAUCAGCAGCGAGGAUCGCGGCCGACUGGGACUUGGAGUUGGAGAAACAGCAGAGCAGGAGGCACAGACACAGUGCUGGGAGCAUGGAGCGUGGCUUGGAGGGCACUUUGGAAAUGCUGAUGUUCCCGUGCACCUGGAAUUGCUGUCCUUCCAAGGAAUAGUGGGUUGGUCAAAUGGAAAACGUUUUCUGUUACAUUGGGAGAAGUCAUAGCCCCUGCUGAUGUUUGAGACGAUCACCGGGUCAUGCAGCUCAGUUAAUGACUGGAGAUUUUGUGAGACAUCUAUAAUGCUGAGAGUUUGGUGGAUAACACAUACAGGGAGGGGAUCACACUGCUGUCAUAACGGCAUGUAAGAAGGAAGGAAAUGGGUGAUCAGUCAAGAGAUAAGUCAGGGAAUAGAGGAUUACCCUGGGGGAGGGGAGGCUCCCUCCCCAUUAAGUUUUCCAGUUUGGAAGCUGAUGAAGAUGCGGACUGCUCAGGGGAGUGCAGUCAGAACCAUAUCGGUGGCACCACAAGCAGCCUGACUGUACAGAGGGGGGGGGGGGGGGAGAAGGAAGGAGGGGCGAUAGUCACAGAGCAGUCAGGAAAUUGAAGAAGGUGUCAGUGUUUCUAUGACUGUCAAUGUAAUUCCAGGAUCGUGGUAUCAAGAAUGUCACUGUGUCCAUAAAGUCUGCUCCACCAUUCACAUUUGGCUGAUCAGUUUUUCAAGCCCGUUUUCCUCCUUUCCCUCUUUGAUCUCAUGGCAAUCAAGAACUUUUCUAUCUUUGUUUUAAAUCUGCUCAAUGACUUUGCAUCCAUAGCCUUUUGUGACAAUGAGUUCCACAGAUUCCCCACUCUCUGGGUGAAGAUGUUUCCCUUUAUUUCCGAUCUAAAACGUUUUCCCUUUACUCGAAGGCUGUGCCGUUGGUUACUCGUAUCUUCUGUCAAUGGAAACAUCUUCCCAACGUCCACUCUAUCCAAGCCAUUCAUUAUUCUGUAAGUUUCAAUCAGAUCUCCCCUUGUCCUUCUAAAUUCCAUCAUGUAUAGUCCCAGAGCCAUCAAACAUUCCUCAUCUGUUACGCCUUUCAUUCCUGGGAUUUUUCUUGUGAACUUCCUCUGGACCUGCUCCAGGUCCAAUGUAUCCUUCCUGAUGUGUGGAGCCCAAAGUAUAACGCAUUCAGAAAUGAUAUAAAGGAAAGCAAAGGAUGAAGUGUAGAAGUAUUGGUUCAGGAUAGUGUUAGUUAAUGAGUCUGAGAGAAAGUGGAUGCCUCCAAGUUCAGAAUGAAUUUAGUUGGAGCUUUAGAACAAAAGCUAUAAGGUUACGCAGUGAGGGGCCAUCUGUGGGCUACCAACUAGUGAAAAGGGUACAGAGAUGGAAAAUGAUAAUGUUGAGAAACUUGCAUUAUCCAGAUACAGACUGGGAUACUGACCGUGUCUGGGCAGUGACGGAUUGCAUGGAGGAGAGCUUACUGCAGGAGUAUGUGCCCACCCCAAGGGACCAUGUACUGUUGAACCUUGGAAAGGAGAUGGGGAAAGUGGAUCCAGUAUCAGGUGGGAACAUUUUCAGGCACGAUGAUUAUUUUAUUGUAAUGCUCAGGAUGAUGACAGAGAAUGCUAUGCAUUAACUAAGUUUGAGAAAAAUCAAUCGACUGGGAGCUGCCUUCAGUGGGGCAAUAAUGAAUCUGGGAAGGUAUGGCCGGAACAUCAAGUUGGUCAGAAAAAGAAAAAUUGAACAAUGGGCUCCGUUCAAUGGUUUAGGACCUGUGUAGGAAUAGUUCCUCACACAGGAAAGACAGGGUAAACAAACCCAAUGCUGCCUCGGUGACAGUGGAGCAAAAGGUUGAGAUGAAGAAGAACAAUUGAAUAGCUAUCAGAUAGCGAACAGAAUUGUGAACCAGGAGAAAUGCUGAAGGUUUAGAGUAGAGAUGGAAGAGCGGAGGGAUUUAUGAGAAAACAGAGAGACAACAUAAAGUUGUCACACCUCUAAGGGAGCGUGCGAAAAGGUGGAGUAAGGCUGAUUCAACAUUUGAAAGAGGAUUUAUACUGAGAAGAAGGUGAAUGGCAGGGUGUGAGCUGAAGCCUUCAUCUCUGUCUUUGCCAACGUGGGCAAACCCACCCAUGCCAUGGUGACAGAGGAGGAAACACUGUCACUAGAAAGGUACAACAUUUAUGUGGAAUAUCUUUGUGGCACAGGGAACAAACAUGUUUCGCUGUUUUUCCCUCAAUGUAUGUGACAUUAAAUCACUCAUUCAUUCAUUCAUGGAAUAAAAGGGACUGUAUCAAUUUGGAUACAAAAUUGACUGAUUGGUAGGAAAUCGAGAGGAAUGGUUACUAGAUUUGUAAUUCAGACUGGAGAAAGAUUUUCAGUGAAGUUCAGCAGGAUUCGGUUUUGGGGACCUCAUUGAUUUUCAUAUGUAUGAACGAUGUACAUCUGAUGUGCAGGGACCCAUCAAAAGUUUAUAGUUCACACAGCACUUAAAUAAAUUGUAAACUGUGAGGAAAACAUUAUAGAACUCAAAAACGUACAUUGCCAACUUCUUAGAAAGAGUAGAGAAGUGAUUGAUGAAGUUUGGCACAUUGAAUCAUAAGACAAUGCAAAUUUCCAGCAAGAGCAUUAAAAUAUAAUAUAAAACAGGCAGGAAUAGAGGAGCAGAGGAUGUGCAAAGAAUCAUUGAAGUUUGUAGGACAUUAAACAUAGACAAAGCAUGCAGUGUUCCUGUCUUUAUAAAUACUGAUAGUGCAAGGGUAAGGAGGUGAUGGUGAACUUGAAUCAAAUACAUUCGACAUCAACUGGAGUAUUGCAUAUGAUCUGACGGAUAUGAACACAUUAGAAAGGAUGACGAACUGAUCUGAAAACAUAUUUCCAGGGAUGAGUAAGAUCAGUUAUGAAGUCAGACUGAAAAUGUUGCACCUGUUCUCACUGAAGUGAAGGUGGCUAAGUGGAGAUCGGAUGUACUUUUUCAAACUGAUAGGCAGACUGAAUAGAUUAGUUUGGAUAAAACUUUACCCACUCAAAAAAGGAGGGAAAAACGAGAGGGCACAGAUUUCAGGUUAUGUACAGCAGGAGAAAUAUGAUAGGAGUAAGAACCUUUUCACUUGGCGAGUAGUUAGGUUACACUUGGAUAUGUUGUAAAUGGAUAUUCAAUGGAAAUGUUCAAGAGGGGAUUGGAUGAUUAUUGCGAUAAAAUAAAUCUGUAACAGUAUGGGGGAAAGCAGGAGAUCACUACUCUGUAAUGGACUCAGAUGAAGAGCUGGUGCAAACAUCAUAGGUCAAAUUACAUCCUUCUGUGCCUUAAGACUUUUGUAUGGAUUCAAGCGAUGUCUCAAGAGUUCUCCAACUCUAAUAAUACUGUGUUUCCAUUACCUUAUUGAUCCUGUGCGAUCCAUUCUUACCUCUGAAACAUCCAUCAGUCAAAGCAUCCCUCCUUAUCUCUGUAACUCAUACAGGCCAUUUUCUAAAUCUUCUUUCUCUACAAUGCCUUCUAAACACUCCCUCUCUAUGUAAUAAUUCUCCAAGCCUGACAGCUUUCCCUUUGUCCGUAAUUACUCCGAUACAUAGAAAGCUCCAAAUCUUUACAAUCUCCUCCAGCUCACACAAUCAUCAGUCUAUCAAUGUCACUAACUCCCUCCCGCCCUGACAAAUCUCAUGAUCAACAUAACCUCCUCCAGCCAUUACACUGUUCAUUAUGCAGUGCACCUUUCGCAGUCCCUUACAACUCUGCCCAUCUCUUAAACUUCCUCAUGUCCCAACAAUGUUCCCUAGUGUCUGACGUGCUCCAAUGUGUGAUCUGCUGUGUAAAAUCCUCUCGUCUCUUCAGCACUCCCGAUUCUGUAACCACCUCCUGUCCCUACACAGCUCCCUAUUUCUACAGUGUCCACAUUCUUAAUCCCACCCUACCUGUGGAAAUACCUCCAGCUCUCCUUAUUUCUGAAAUCUCUAUCAGAUCAAAACAACACUCUAUGUAUCUCAAACCUUCAUUAGCCCCUUCAAAUAUCACUGCCUCUGAAAUUCCUCCCGCUACUGCAAUGCUCUCAAUGAAAUCUUCCAAGAAAAGUCACCUUCUUUUCAGGAGAACCUCUUCUUAUUAAUCUCCUGCAGGGCCAAGACAAGGUUUUCUUUUGUCUUCUGCAAGCUCUCUAUCUCAAACCCUUCACCUAUAACGUCCUUAUUAUCUCUCAUCUCAUUCAAAAACUUGAUCGGCCUGUAUGUCUGUGACCUUCUCCAGGAGAAGGAAAGGCUUUUCGGGAGUAGGGGGAGAUUUUGUGUUUGAAGGAUGUCAUAAAUGUAUGACUGUUUGUAGAAUGGAGAGGAUUUACAGAGAUGGAAGGGUGACAGAACAUGAGGGGUGUCAAAGAGACUGAUAUUUGUAGGCUCAGAGAAAAUAAUCUGUGGUUUGCCUAUUUGGCUAUAAUUUGAAGAGUAAAAUGUUAUUAAAUUGCAAAUGUAUGGGCCUAUUAUUGAGUUUGGGAUCUGCCUGU